UGCUCUCUGCCAAUGGGCAAAGAGACACCUGUUGGUGGUGGCGUUCUUAGUCAGAGGCAGAGCAGAUGGCAGUUUUUUGUUCAUCCUAGCUUGACACCAUGCUUGGUAGUCAAAUCUGUUUUAUGCCUAGGACUCAUAC